UUCCAGACUCCUACGGGAGGCAGCAGUGGGGAAUAUUGGGCAAUGGAGGAAACUCUUACCCAGCAAUGCCGCGUGAAUGAAGAAGGUCUUCGGAUUGUAAAGUUCUUUAAUUGGGGACGAAAAAAAUGACGGUACCCAAGGAAUAAGCUCCGGCUAACUACGUGCCAGCAGCCGCGGUAAUACGUAGGGAGCAAGCGUUGUCCGGAAUUACUGGGCGUAAAGGGCGCGUAGGUGGGCGCUUAAGUCAGGUGUGAAAACUCCGGGCUCAACCUGGAGACUGCACUUGAAACUGGGUGUCUUGAGGGCAGGAGAGGAAAGUGGAAUUCCUAGUGUAGCGGUGAAAUGCGUAGAUAUUAGGAGGAACACCAGUGGCGAAGGCGACUUUCUGGACUGUACCUGACGCUGAGGCGCGAAAGCGUGGGUAGCGAACGGGAUUAGAUACCCUGGUA
rnacentral:rRNA from 1 species